AAAUUGAAGAGUUUGAUCAUGGCUCAGAUUGAACGCUGGCGGCAGGCCUAACACAUGCAAGUCGAGCGGUAGCACAGAAGAGCUUGCUCUUUGGGUGACGAGCGGCGGACGGGUGAGUAAUGUCUGGGAAACUGCCUGAUGGAGGGGGAUAACUACUGGAAACGGUAGCUAAUACCGCAUAACCUCGCAAGAGCAAAGAGGGGGACCUUCGGGCCUCUCGCCAUCAGAUGUGCCCAGAUGGGAUUAGCUAGUAGGUGAGGUAAUGGCUCACCUAGGCGACGAUCCCUAGCUGGUCUGAGAGGAUGACCAGCCACACUGGAACUGAGACACGGUCCAGACUCCUACGGGAGGCAGCAGUGGGGAAUAUUGCACAAUGGGCGCAAGCCUGAUGCAGCCAUGCCGCGUGUGUGAAGAAGGCCUUCGGGUUGUAAAGCACUUUCAGCGGGGAGGAAGGCAGUAAGGUUAAUAACUUUAUUGAUUGACGUUACCCGCAGAAGAAGCACCGGCUAACUCCGUGCCAGCAGCCGCGGUAAUACGGAGGGUGCAAGCGUUAAUCGGAAUGACUGGGCGUAAAGCGCACGCAGGCGGUCUGUUAAGUUGGAUGUGAAAUCCCCGGGCUUAACCUGGGAACUGCAUUCAAAACUGACAGGCUAGAGUCUUGUAGAGGGGGGUAGAAUUCCAGGUGUAGCGGUGAAAUGCGUAGAGAUCUGGAGGAAUACCGGUGGCGAAGGCGGCCCCCUGGACAAAGACUGACGCUCAGGUGCGAAAGCGUGGGGAGCAAACAGGAUUAGAUACCCUGGUAGUCCACGCUGUAAACGAUGUCGAUUUGGAGGUUGUGCCCUUGAGGCGUGGCUUCCGGAGCUAACGCGUUAAAUCGACCGCCUGGGGAGUACGGCCGCAAGGUUAAAACUCAAAUGAAUUGACGGGGGCCCGCACAAGCGGUGGAGCAUGUGGUUUAAUUCGAUGCAACGCGAAGAACCUUACCUACUCUUGACAUCCACAGAAUUCGGCAGAGAUGCCUUAGUGCCUUCGGGAACUGUGAGACAGGUGCUGCAUGGCUGUCGUCAGCUCGUGUUGUGAAAUGUUGGGUUAAGUCCCGCAACGAGCGCAACCCUUAUCCUUUGUUGCCAGCGAUUCGGUCGGGAACUCAAAGGAGACUGCCGGUGAUAAACCGGAGGAAGGUGGGGAUGACGUCAAGUCAUCAUGGCCCUUACGAGUAGGGCUACACACGUGCUACAAUGGCGUAUACAAAGAGAAGCGACCUCGCGAGAGCAAGCGGACCUCAUAAAGUACGUCGUAGUCCGGAUUGGAGUCUGCAACUCGACUCCAUGAAGUCGGAAUCGCUAGUAAUCGUAGAUCAGAAUGCUACGGUGAAUACGUUCCCGGGCCUUGUACACACCGCCCGUCACACCAUGGGAGUGGGUUGCAAAAGAAGUAGGUAGCUUAACCUUCGGGAGGGCGCUUACCACUUUGUGAUUCAUGACUGGGGUGAAGUCGUAACAAGGUAACCGUAGGGGAACCUGCGGUUGGAUCACCUCCUUACC
rnacentral:rRNA from 2 species